AUAUCAAUAAGCGGAGGAAAAGAAACCAACAGGGAUUGCCUCAGUAACGGCGAGUGAAGCGGCAACAGCUCAAAUUUGAAAUCUGGCUUCUCGGAGCCCGAGUUGUAAUUUGUAGAGGAUGUUUCGGGUACCGCUCCGGCUUAAUUUUCUUGGAACAGAAUGUCACAGAGGGUGAGAAUCCCGUCUGGAGCCGCGGUAGGGCCUAUGUGAAACUCCUUCGACGAGUCGAGUUGUUUGGGAAUGCAGCUCAAAAUGGGUGGUAAAUUUCAUCUAAAGCUAAAUAUUGGCCAGAGACCGAUAGCGCACAAGUAGAGUGAUCGAAAGAUGAAAAGCACUUUGAAAAGAGAGUUAAACAGUAUGUGAAAUUGUUGAAAGGGAAGCGCUGGCAACCAGACUUGCGUGUAGGGGUUCCCCCUCGCUUCUGCGUGGGUUACUCCCCUAUAUCCAGGCCAACAUCGGUUUUGGCGGUCGGUCAAAGGCCUUGGGAAUGUACCUUCCCCCGGGAAGACUUAUAGCCCAGGGUGUCAUGCGGCCUGCCGGGACCGAGGAACGCGCUUCGGCUCGGAUGUUGGCGUAAUGGUUGUCAGCGA
rnacentral:rRNA from 1 species